rnacentral:rRNA from 1 species
AUUGAACGCUGGCGGCAUGCUUUACACAUGCAAGUCGAACGGCAGCACGAAAGAGCUUGCUCUUUUGGUGGCGAGUGGCGAACGGGUGAAUAAUGCAUCGGAACGUACCGAGUAAUGGGGGAUAACUGUCCGAAAGGAUAGCUAAUACCGCAUACGCUUUGAGAAGGAAAGUGGGGGCUCUUCGGACCUCACGUUAUUCGAGCGGCCGAUGUCUGAUUAGCUAGUUGGUGGGGUAAAGGCCUACCAAGGCGACGAUCAGUAGCGGGUCUGAGAGGAUGAUCCGCCACACUGGGACUGAGACACGGCCCAGACUCCUACGGGAGGCAGCAGUGGGGAAUUUUGGACAAUGGGCGCAAGCCUGAUCCAGCCAUGCCGCGUGUCUGAAGAAGGCCUUCGGGUUGUAAAGGACUUUUGUUAGGGAAGAAAAGGAUAGUGUUAAUACCAUUAUCUGCUGACGGUACCUAAAGAAUAAGCACCGGCUAACUACGUG